AAUUACUUGGGAUAUAUUUCCGCCACAAUGGUGACUAUAUAUAUUUACAUUUUCUUGGCCCUGGGAAAUGUUUGUGAUUCAAAACCGUUCUCGAAAGAUGAAAUCCUUGGUCGAAGAAUGUUACAGCGGCAAGUACGACAGACUUCCGGGACGUCUUCGUCCUCCUCAGGAUCUUUCACGUCCCUUGCUAGCGGUGGGUUCAGUCCUGGUACUCUAACAGGAAGUGGGACUGGAUCACUGGGUGCUAUGAGCUU